rnacentral:rRNA from 2 species
GGGUGCGAUCAUACCAGCACUAAUGCACCGGAUCUCAUCAGAAUUCCGCAGCUAAGCGUGCUUGGGCGAGAGUAGUACUAGGAUGGGUGACCUAUCGGGAAGUGAUUCGCGAUAGCGUGCG